CGACUCGACUUGAUGAGCGCAACACGACUAACGAAGAAAAAAAAAAAAGGAGAGAGAACCCGGAAAUUCCUUGCGAAAACCCCUGAGAUUGCGGAACGCGCAGCCUGGAAUCAGAAUUCUACUUUAUCAUCGAUGCUCUCAUCCAGUGAAAAACAUCCAUUCAGGAGAAUCAGACAGACUGGUUUAAGGUGAUAGGAUGUCUACGAUGGUAGAUGGCUCAGCUUUGGUCUCAAAAGCAUGGAUCUAUGCCUUGUGAAGACUCAUUUGAAUCCCAUUCAAGAUCUAUGAAAAGAGUUGGAACUUGCAGCCUGGAGAACCUUUAAAACCUGUAGAGUGAUCAUGAAGAAUGGACCAAACUACACCAUAUG